rnacentral:rRNA from 1 species
CCUACGGGUGGCAGCAGUGGGGAAUAUUGGACAAUGGGGGGAACCCUGAUCCAGCCAUGCCGCGUGUGUGAAGAAGGCCUUAUGGUUGUAAAGCACUUUAAGCGAGGAGGCGUUACUCGCAGAAUAAGCACCGGCUAACUCUGUGCCAGCAGCCGCGGUAAUACAGAGGGUGCGAGCGUUAAUCGGAUUUACUGGGCGUAAAGCGUGCGUAGGCGGCUUAUUAAGUCGGAUGUGAAAUCCCCGAGCUUAACUUGGGAAUUGCAUUCGAUACUGGUGAGCUAGAGUAUGGGAGAGGAUGGUAGAAUUCCAGGUGUAGCGGUGAAAUGCGUAGAGAUCUGGAGGAAUACCGAUGGCGAAGGCAGCCAUCUGGCCUAUCUGACGCUGAGGUACGAAAGCAUGGGGAGCAAACAGGAUUAGAUACCCUUGUAGUC